UACGUAGGUGGCAAGCGUUGUCCGGAAUUAUUGGGCGUAAAGCGCGCGCAGGUGGUUUCUUAAGUCUGAUGUGAAAGCCCACGGCUCAACCGUGGAGGGUCAUUGGAAACUGGGGAACUUGAGUGCAGAAGAGGAAAGUGGAAUUCCAAGUGUAGCGGUGAAAUGCGUAGAGAUUUGGAGGAACACCAGUGGCGAAGGCGGCUUUCUGGACGGUAACUGACGCUGAGACGCGAAAGCGUGGGGAGCAAACAGGG
rnacentral:rRNA from 1 species